AGAGCGAACGCUGGCGGCAGGCCUAAUACAUGCAAGUCGAACGGAUCCUUCGGGAUUAGUGGCGGACGGGUGAGUAACACGUGGGAACGUGCCCUUUGGUUCGGAACAACUCAGGGAAACUUGAGCUAAUACCGAAUGUGCCCUUCGGGGGAAAGAUUUAUCGCCAUUGGAGCGGCCCGCGUCUGAUUAGCUAGUUGGUGGGGUAAAGGCCCACCAAGGCGACGAUCAGUAGCUGGUCUGAGAGGAUGAUCAGCCACACUGGGACUGAGACACGGCCCAGACUCCUACGGGAGGCAGCAGUAGGGAAUCUGCGCAAUGGGCGAAAGCCUGACGCAGCCAUGCCGCGUGAAUGAUGAAGGUCUUAGGAUUGUAAAAUUCUUUCAGCGGGACGAUAAUGACGGUACCCGCAGAAGAAGCCCCGGCUAACUUCGCGCCAGCAGCCGC
rnacentral:rRNA from 1 species